rnacentral:rRNA from 1 species
GAUCCUGGCUCAGGAUGAACGCUGGCGGCACGCCUAACACAUGCAAGUCGAACGGAGUUUAAGAGAGCUUGCUUUUUAAACUUAGUGGCGGACGGGUGAGUAACACGUGAGCAACCUGCCUUUCAGAGGGGGAUAGCUUCUGGAAACGGAUGGUAAUACCUCAUAACAUAUUGGUACGGCAUCGUAUCGAUAUCAAAGAUUUAUCGCUGAAAGAUGGGCUCGCGUCUGAUUAGCUGGUUGGUGAGGUAACGGCCCACCAAGGCAACGAUCAGUAGCCGGACUGAGAGGUUGAACGGCCACAUUGGGACUGAGACACGGCCCAGACUCCUACGGGAGGCAGCAGUGGGGAAUAUUGCACAAUGGGCGCAAGCCUGAUGCAGCGAUGCCGCGUGAGGGAAGAAGGUUUUCGGAUUGUAAACCUCUGUCAUCGGGGACGAAAAUGACGGUACCCGAGAAGGAAGCUCCGGCUAACUACGUGCCAGCCGCCGC